GUAUAUUUCGGUUGGCGUAAAUUAGUAUAUUUUGAAAUUCAACAUGCAGUCACUUUGUGCACUGCUUCCAUCUCUUUUUCAACGCAAAGCCGCAGCGAGAGGUUGUCUUUGUGUUUGCGAUGGAUAUACUUAAUUAUAUUUCUAAAAUGAUUCUAAUGUCUUGGAAUAGUUAACAGAUGCCGCACUAAUCUCCGUCGGAUUCAGUUAAAAAUAAAUAUGAAAUGAAUGCUAUUCUACUGCCGGUUCUUUCAUAAACCACGUGCACGUGUUGUCAGAAUGUUAAGCUAGCUCCACGUGUUCAGAAUAUCUGUUUGAAAUUAGGCACUUGGCUUUUUUUUAAGUUGGCAGCUGUGGACUAGGAAAGUACUUCGAAGAGAAUUCCACCUUGCUAUGAAUGAAGCAUGACAGUAUUCUAUUACUAAAUGGAUUGCUCAUUAAUAGGCACUAUAGAUGAUUCCACACCGUCUUAACAACUCAAUAAACAACUCAAA